ACGUAUUUAUAACAUUCAUUUGGUUUAUGCAACCUUUUUUCAAUGUGUGUUAUAACUUAUUAUAAUAAUAUUAUAAACAAUAUUAUGUAAGAAAAAAAUGAGGAAAAAACUAAUUAGCAAAAACAAGUAUAUAUGUAAAUAAAUACGUGCAUAUAUAUGUGAUAUAAACACAGUAAACUAUAAUAAAUAUAUAAAAUACAGUAAAGCAUAUAUAUAUAUAUAUAUAUAUAUAUAUGUGUACGUGUAUGUAUUAAUUUAACACUUUGAUCAGAUGAAACACACUUUCAUUAUAUUAUAAUUUAUUAUAUAUAUAUAUAUAUAUUUUUUUAAACAGUGUGUUUUCUUAUUAUUCAAAUUUUUAUAUUUAUGCGAAUUUCAAUAUAGGAAAAAAAAAGAAAAAAAAUGGAAAAAUAAGUAAAUACAUAAAUAUGUAUAUGUGUACGUAUAUAUAUAUAUAUAUAUAUAUAUAUAUAUAUAGACCUUUUUUAUGAAUUUAUAUUUUGAUAUGAAUUAUAUUAACAAAUAACAUCUUUAACAUAUAGCACUUUCACGUGUUUGUUUUAAUACUAACAAGAAUAGUUUAUAUGUGUGUAUAAAUAAGCUUACAUACACACAUAAAUAGGCACGUAUAUAAACAAUUUUUUUUUUUUUUUUUUUUUUUUUUUUUUUUUUUUAAUUUUUUUUUUGUUUUCUUCUUCUUCGUUUAAUUUUUCCAUACAUUUUAAAUUUUCAAACGUCAAUUCAACUUUAUUAUCUGAUUUGUUUAGUUCGUUGUUUUCUGUUAUAUUGGCGUCAUUUGUUACAUCUGAUUUAUUUUGUUCUAUAUCUUUAUGGUCAGACAUUACUUUCUCUUUUUCCCCUCCCUCUUGUUGUAGUUCUUCUCUUUCCGCUUUAACAAAUUCAUCAUUUUCAUCUUUUUUUAAUCUUUUAAUAUUUGUAAUUUCUGUAUUAUUUUCAUCAAUCGAAUAAUCUGAUUGUUCUUUAUUUUGCUUUUCGUCUUUUAUUUUAUUUUUACUAUCUUUAGGAGAGAUGUUUGAUGCUGAUGAUAAUUCAUUAUCCGUCUUUUGUUGUUCAUUUUCUAAAAUAUUCGAUUUAUUUAAUAUAUUAGUAUUACUAUUAUUAUCAUCAUUAUUGUUACUAUUAUCACCAUCAUU
rnacentral:lncRNA from 1 species